rnacentral:rRNA from 1 species
UACACUCCUACGGGAGGCAGCAGUGGGGAAUAUUGCACAAUGGGCGCAAGCCUGAUGCAGCCAUGCCGCGUGUAUGAAGAAGGCCUUCGGGUUGUAAAGUACUUUCAGCGGGGAGGAAGGUGUUGAGGUUAAUAACCUCAGCAAUUGACGUUACCCGCAGAAGAAGCACCGGCUAACUCCGUGCCAGCAGCCGCGGUAAUACGGAGGGUGCAAGCGUUAAUCGGAAUUACUGGGCGUAAAGCGCACGCAGGCGGUCUGUCAAGUCGGAUGUGAAAUCCCCGGGCUCAACCUGGGAACUGCAUUCGAAACUGGCAGGCUAGAGUCUUGUAGAGGGGGGUAGAAUUCCAGGUGUAGCGGUGAAAUGCGUAGAGAUCUGGAGGAAUACCGGUGGCGAAGGCGGCCCCCUGGACAAAGACUGACGCUCAGGUGCGAAAGCGUGGGGAGCAAACAGGAUUAGAAACCCCAGUAGUCCCAUGA